rnacentral:rRNA from 1 species
CCCUUAGAUGUCCGGGGCCGCACGCGCGCUACACUGAUGUGUCCAGUAAGCACCUAACCUCUUCCGAAAGGAACGGGUAACCUUUGCAAAGCACAUCGUGAUGGGGAUAGAUUAUUGCAAUUAUUAGUCUUGAACGAGGAAUUCCUAGUAAGCACAAGUCAUCAGCUUGUGUUGAUUACGUCCCUGCCCUUUGUACACACCGCCCGUCGCUCCUACCGAUUGAAUGUUCCGGUGAGCUCUUCGGACUGCGCGGUCUGCAGUUUCUGCGUUCCGUGCGGAAAGUUGCGCAAACCUUAACAUUUAGAGGAAGGAGAAGUCGUAACA